GAAUUAUUUUUCACUUUAGCAACUCUUAUUGAAACCCACUAACUAUUCGCGAUCUAUUCGUGCCAAUGUUCUUCUCUUCGUGUAAAUGUACUGUUUAGGUGUCUGUGCAUGGAUAAACGCAGCGCGCAACUAUGUCUAGAAUAGGCAGACAAGUGAAACCAUACCAGACUUAAAUUUUGGUUAUACUCUUAUAUUACGUACACGAAUGUAUAGAAAUAUCAUGAAAUGGGUUGGGCUUCGGGUUAGGGUUAAAUCUAACCCUAUUACCGUAACCUUGACCAUUACAUGUCCCAUAUAUGCGUGUACAUAACCUGAGUAUCAGGCUCUAUUUUACAAAUAGAGCCUGACACAAAACUUAACCUGAUCGCUUUCCGCCCACAGCAAAGUUUAUAUUUAGUAUCCAAUCAAAAUG